CUGCAAUUGUAUGUUUUGGAACAUGACUUAGCCAGCCAGCACUAUUUUUUUCGAAGGUUCUCAGCCUCCUAAGGUGUGAUUUUCAUUAUAGAAUCAUUAUCUCUCCUUACCAAAACAGUACUCACAGCUACAUGAGUCACUCUAUAAAUACUAAGUCAGAGGUUGUUACAUUUAGCAACUCAAGAUGAAGACCGGACACUUCUCAUCGUUGCUUCUUCUCUUCCUCGUAUUGCUUGUUUGUGUAGGCGGUGCAAGGAGAGGCCCCGAAGAAUACGGGAAGAGUACGAUGAGUGAUGAGGAUAUGCCUAAGACAAUGCGCGAUUUGAUGAGUCCAAACCCGACCUCAGAUUCCAUAGAUUUGGAUCAUUUUGUUAGAAACUUCGAGACCAAACCUAAUGUCAUUAUAUAUCAUCCUCGUCGAGUUCAUUCCGAUUGAAGCCACAAGCUUUGAAAGAUUGAAGAUGUACUUCAACCACGAUUAAAAAAUGGAUCAAGCAAAUUUGGACUUGAAUAUUGUUUUCGCAGUCUUUGAGUUUGGUUAUGCUAUGUGCGUCAUAAUAAAUUUUCACAUGCAAUUCUCUAUUUUUA